rnacentral:rRNA from 1 species
CCUACGGGAGGCAGCAGUGAGGAAUAUUGGUCAAUGGGCGAGAGCCUGAACCAGCCAAGUCGCGUGAAGGAUGACGGCCCUACGGGUUGUAAACUUCUUUUGUCAGGGAGCAAUUGAGUCCACGUGUGGGCUUAGCGAGAGUACCUGAAGAAAAAGCAUCGGCUAACUCCGUGCCAGCAGCCGCGGUAAUACGGAGGAAGCGGGCGUUAUCCGGAUUUAUUGGGUUUAAAGGGUGCGUAGGCGGAAUGUCAAGUCAUCGGUAAAAAUUCGGGGCUAAACCCCGUCGUGCCGUUGAAACUGGUGGUCUUGAGUGGGCGAGAGGUAUGCGGAAUGCGUGGUGUAGCGGUGAAAUGCAUAGAUAUCACGCAGAACUCCGAUUGCGAAGGCAGCAUACCGGCGCCCAACUGACGCUGAGGCACGAAAGCGUGGGUAUCGAACAGGAUUAGAUACCCUAGUAGUC